rnacentral:rRNA from 1 species
GACGAACGCUGGCGGCGUGCCUAAUACAUGCAAGUAGAACGCUGAAGGAGGGGCUUGCUUCUCCGGAUGAGUUGCGAACGGGUGAGUAACGCGUAGGUAACCUGCCUGGUAGCGGGGGAUAACUAUUGGAAACGAUAGCUAAUACCGCAUAAGAGUAGAUGUCGCAUGACAUUUGCUUAAAAGGUGCAACUGCACCACUACCAGAUGGACCUGCGUUGUAUUAGCUAGUUGGUGAGGUAACGGCUCACCAAGGCAACGAUACAUAGCCGACCUGAGAGGGUGAUCGGCCACACUGGGACGGGGACACGGCCCAGACUCCUACGGGAGGCAGCAGUAGGGAAUCUUCGGCAAUGGACGGAAGUCUGACCGAGCAACGCCGAGGGAGUGAAGAAGGUUUUCGGAUCGUAAAGCUCGGUUGUAAGAGAAGAACGAGUGUGAGAGUGGAAAGUUCACACUGUGACGGUAUCUUACCAGAAAGAGACGGCUAACUACGUG